UGGAAUAAGGCAGUUCAGUUCAAAUAUGAGGAUGUGUCCUGGGGAUCUGUACGGUGGACAGCACCAUGACAGGCACUCCAGGGGUGAAUAUCUGUGUCCUCUUCUGAGCAUGCAGAAUUAUUCCUCCUGACACGUGAUCUGCAAUAAAGAGAAGGUGGCUUUCAAAAUACUUACAGUACUGUUGGGGAGACGGGGAGAUUUGUCAGAGGAAAAAUGAUAAAACAAUGCAUGUGGAAAGAAUUUAGGGGAGAGGAGCAAAUAGCUUGAGUAAAGGUCUGUUUGUGUCACAAAGAGCUCCUGAAACUGAAUCUUGCAUAUGAAUAUAAUAUGGGAUCUGGCAGAGACAUUACUGCAGUAUGGAGUAUGCCUUUCUCAUUUUUACAGAUUUAAAAGCAAACAAAACCAAACGCAGUCUCCAGGAGAUUUAUUUGCAUGAGGUCAUAAAGUAAAUAAUAAGCAAAUCGAGAAUCUUACCUCUAUAUCUGAGGUUGCACUUUCUCAAAUAAUUAGCUUUAUUUAUAAUAUUAAUUUAUUUAAAUAUGUUAUUUUAUUUUGAUUAUAUUCUCAAGACUAUGUAUGGCACUAAAAAACAUGAAGAUGAGUAAGUCUUGACUUUAAGAAAUUUUGUCUAGUUUGGGUCUACAUAGAUUAAAAUUUAUAGUACAUAGUGUGGUUAUUAUGUUUAAGGAAGUAUGACAAGAAUAUUUUUAUCAGUCUAGAGGGUCAAAGAAAACAUCUGGAGAAGGUGAGGUUUGAGUUGGACCUUGAAAGAACAGGAGAAGUACAAACCAACAUGAAAAAUAAAUGUGUUUGUGUAUAUCUAUAUCUUUAUCUAUAUCUAUAUAUCAACAUCUCUGAAGGAAUAUAUAAUGCAAAAAAUAGAAAUGAUCAUCUGUGUCUAUAACCCAAAAGCGUAUUGGCAAAAGUCAAGAAGUGUGGAUAUGAGAUAUUAAGUAGACAGAGUCAUGCAGGGUCCUACCAAAGAGGCAGUCUGUAGUUACUCCAUUUUACAUUGAUUUCUGAAAAUCAAAUAAAAGUUCACCUAAAGCAAUUGAUUUUUUAAAUGGAUAAUAAAUGUAUAGACUUUCAAAACGUCUUUUCCAUUUCAAAACAUGUAUAAAUAAGAUAGAGCCAAAAUAUAACAUAUGAAAGUAAAAUGAUUAUUAAGAUAGAGCCACAUUCCAUGAAAAUGAUCUUCAUGGGCUGUGUGGUAUAGGGGGAGGGAACAAUUGAAAUGCAAAGUGAUGAGUGAGAACUCAGCCAUGGCCUGCCUCCUUCCAAAGCCUGAAGCAGUCAGGUAGGCUGUGACGGCUGGGCUGCUGGAGUCAGUAGUGCUCAGUGAGAGGCAGAGGAGGGAAGCCAGGCUUACUCCUUUAGGCCAGGGGUUGGGAUCAAUUUGCCCUCUGGGGCUAUCACUUUAUAUGGAGCUAUCGCUGUGGAGACAAAUAAUGAUUUAGCCUUAAGCCAGGAACUGAGACAAACCAUCAGCUACUUCCAAGGCUGAACUGGUAAUACCUCGUGUCAUUAUAGAUCAAGAUAAACAUGGUCAGAACUCCUUCUGGAGGGCCAGGUUAAAGCCAAAAUAAAACAGCAGAACUGAUAAAUGGUAGUAGGGGUCUAGGGGAGUGGGGGCAGGAGGAUGAAGCAAAGCAACUAAAUAAAAAUAACUUUCUACCUAAAUGAGCCUACAAAUUCAAAUUCCAGAAUACAUCAAUAGAUGUAAUGCAAAAAACAGUCAUACAACAAACUCAACAACUGCAAUGGGAAUUUAUGUCAGAUGAAAUUAAUUUUAUAGAAGAGUCUGAUAAAGACUUUACAUUCGACACAUUUAGGAAUGUUAAAAAUGAAGACAUGAAGACAUGCCAGCAAGAUGAACAAUAGACCAAAAAUAUAUAGGCAAACAUGAAAAACUGGUUAAGAGAAAAAGCUGAUCAUAAACCUUAGAAAUGGAAAAUUUAAGAUUUAAAUAAAAAUAUUUUUAUGUACAGGCUGAGCACCCCUAAUUUGAAAAUCCAAAAUUCAAAGUGCUCCAAAAUAUGAAACU
rnacentral:lncRNA from 10 species